CACCAUAGUGCAGUUCUGACGCUCAUGUUCCCAUUGAAGGUGUUGUUGGAGGUGGACAGCGGUCAUCAUGAGCACUUUGACCAAUCUGCAGCUACACAGUCCCAUAUACAGAAAACUGCAAUGCACUGUGUGUUCUAACAUCUUUCUAUUCUAGCCAGCAUUGCUCUUCAGCAAUUUGAACUACGUUAGCCCUUCUGUGCAAUCGGACAAGGCAGGCUAGCCUUCGCU